rnacentral:rRNA from 1 species
UACGUAGGGAGCAAGCGUUGUCCGGAAUCACUGGGCGUAAAGCGCACGUAGGCGGAUUGCUAAGUCAGGGGUGAAAUCCUGGAGCUCAACUCCAGAACUGCCUUUGAUACUGGCGACCUUGAGUCCGGGAGAGGUGAGUGGAACUGCGAGUGUAGAGGUGAAAUUCGUAGAUAUUCGCAAGAACACCAGUGGCGAAGGCGGCUCACUGGCCCGGUACUGACGCUGAGGUGCGAAAGCGUGGGGAGCAAACAGG